rnacentral:rRNA from 1 species
UACGAAGGGGGCUAGCGUUGCUCGGAAUGACUGGGCGUAAAGGGCGCGUAGGCGGUUUGGUUAGUUAGGCGUGAAAUUCCUGGGCUCAACCUGGGGGCUGCGCUUAAUACAGCCAGACUAGAGUGUGAAAGAGGGUCGUGGAACUCCCAGUGUAGAGGUGAAAUUCGUAGAUAUUGGGAAGAACACCGGUGGCGAAGGCGGCAUCCUGGACCGGUAUUGACACUGAGGCGCGACAGCGUGGGGAGCAAACAGG